rnacentral:rRNA from 1 species
GAGUUUGAUCAUGGCUCAGAACGUACGCUGGCGGCACGCCUAACACAUGCAAGUCGAACGAAGUAGCAAUACUUAGUGGCAGACGGGUGAGUAACAUGUAGGUAUCUGCCCUUUGGCCUGGAAUAACACGAGGAAACUUGUGCUAAUACCGGAUAAGUCUUUACGGAGAAAGCUUUAUGCACCAUUGGAUGAGCCUGCACUUGAUUAGUUUGUUGGUGGGGUAAUGGCCUACCAAGACUUUGAUCAAUAGCUGAUUUGAGAGGAUGAUCAGCCACAUUGGGACUGAGACACGGCCCAAACUCCUACGGGAGGCAGCAGUGGGGAAUCUUGCACAAUGGAGGAAACUCUGAUGCAGCGAUGCCGCGUGAGUGAAGAAGGCCUUUGGGUUGUAAAGCUCUUUCGUCGGGGAAGAAAAUGACUGUACCCGAAUAAGAAGGUCCGGCUAACUUCGUGCCAGCAGCCGCGGUAAUACGAAGGGACCUAGCGUAGUUCGGAAUUACUGGGCUUAAAGAGUUCGUAGGUGGUUGAAAAAGUUGGUGGUGAAAUCCCAGAGCUUAACUCUGGAACUGCCAUCAAAACUUUUCAGCUAGAGUAUGAUAGAGGAAAGCAGAAUUUCUAGUGUAGAGGUGAAAUUCGUAGAUAUUAGAAAGAAUACCAAUUGCGAAGGCAGCUUUCUGGAUCAUUACUGACACUGAGGAACGAAAGCAUGGGUAGCGAAGAGGAUUAGAUACCCUCGUAGUCCAUGCCGUAAACGAUGUGUGUUAGACGUUGGAAAUUUAUUUUCAGUGUCGCAGCAAAAGCGAUAAACACACCGCCUGGGGAGUACGACCGCAAGGUUAAAACUCAAAUGAAUUGACGGGGACCCGCACAAGUAGUGGAGCAUGUGGUUUAAUUCGAAGAUACGCGCAGAACCUUACCAACACUUGACAUGUUCGUCGCGACUCUAAGAGAUUAGAGUUUUCGGUUCGGCCGGACGAAACACAGGUGCUGCAUGGCUGUCGUCAGCUCGUGUCGUGAGAUGUUGGGUUAAGUCCCGCAACGAGCGCAACCCUCACUUUUAGUUGCCAUCAUUAAGUUGGGCACUCUGAAAGAACUGCCAGUGAUAAGCUGGAGGAAGGUGGGGAUGACGUCAAGUCCUCAUGGCCCUUACGUGUUGGGCUACACACGUGCUACAAUGGUAUCUACAACAGGAAGCAAGACGGCGACGUUAAGCAAAUCCUUAAAAGAUACCUCAGUUCGGAUUGCACUCUGCAACUCGAGUGCAUGAAGCUGGAAUUACUAGUAAUCGUGGAUCAGCGUGCUACGGUGAAUGCGUUCCCGGGUCUUGUACACACCGCCCGUCACACCAUGGGAGUUGGUUCUACCUUAAGGCAAGGUUUUAAACCCUGGACCACGGUAUAGUCAGCGACUGGGGUGAAGUCGUAACAAGGUAACC